UACGGAGGAUCCAAGCGUUAUCCGGAAUCAUUGGGUUUAAAGGGUCCGUAGGCGGUUAGAUAAGUCAGUGGUGAAAUCCGGCAGCUUAACUGUCGAACUGCCAUUGAUACUGUUUGACUUGAAUUACUGUGAAGUAACUAGAAUAUGUAGUGUAGCGGUGAAAUGCUUAGAUAUUACAUGGAAUACCAAUUGCGAAGGCAGGUUACUAAUGGUUUAUUGACGCUGAUGGACGAAAGCGUGGGGAGCGAACAGGAUUAGAAACCCGAGUAGUCC
rnacentral:rRNA from 1 species